rnacentral:lncRNA from 1 species
UCAAGUUAUGAGUCUUUGAAGUUAUGAAAAAUAACAAAAAUAAAUAGGCAAAAAAAAAUAAUGAAUAAAAAUGAGUCUGGGACAAGCAGGAUUCAAACCCCAGACCUCUUGCACACACAAAGCCUUAACACACACACUCUAACCGCUGGGGCAACGAUACAUCCAUUAACUAAUUUACAAACAUUAAUAUAUAUAUAUAAUAAAACGAUUCCAGAAACUGGGAAAUGACAUCAUUU